rnacentral:rRNA from 1 species
GAUGAACGCUGGCGGCGUGCCUAAUACAUGCAAGUCGAGCGAACGGACGAGAAUCUUGCUUCUCUGAUGUUAGCGGCGGACGGGUGAGUAACACGUGGAUAACCUACCUAUAUGACUGGGAUAACUUCGGGAAACCGGAGCUAAUACCGUAUAAUCUUUUGAACCGCAUGGUUCAAAAGUGAAAGACGGUCUUGCUGUCACUUAUAGCUGGAUCCGCGCUGCAUUAGCUAGUUGGUAAGGUAACGGCUUACCAAGGCAACGAUGCAUAGCCGACCUGAGAGGGUGAUAGGCCACACUGGAACUGAGACACGGUCCAGACUCCUAAGGGAGGCAGCAGUAGGGAAUCGUACGCAAUGGGCGAGAGCCUGACGGAGCAACGCCGCGUGAGUGAUGAAGGUCUUCGGAUCGUAAAAAUCUGUUAUGAGGGAAGAACAUAUGUGGAAGGAACUGUGCACAGAGUGACGGUACCUAAUCAGAAAGCAACGGCUAACUACGUG